AGAUUGAACGCUGGCGGCAGGCCUAACACAUGCAAGUCGAGCGGUAGAGAGGUGCUUGCACCUCUUGAGAGCGGCGGACGGGUGAGUAAUGCCUAGGAAUCUGCCUAGUGGUGGGGGAUAACGUUCGGAAACGGACGCUAAUACCGCAUACGUCCUACGGGAGAAAGCGGGGGACCUUCGGGCCUCGCGCCAUUAGAUGAGCCUAGGUCGGAUUAGCUAGUUGGUGAGGUAAUGGCUCACCAAGGCGACGAUCCGUAACUGGUCUGAGAGGAUGAUCAGUCACACUGGAACUGAGACACGGUCCAGACUCCUACGGGAGCAGCAGUGGGAAU
rnacentral:rRNA from 1 species